UACGGAGGGUGCUAGCGUUGUUCGGAAUUACUGGGCGUAAAGAGCUUGUAGGCGGCUUGCUCAGUCCGAUGUGAAAGCCCCCGGCUCAACCGGGGAAGUGCAUUGGAUACUGGCGAGCUUGAGUAUGGGAGAGGAGAGCGGAAUUCCCGGUGUAGAGGUGAAAUUCGUAGAUAUCGGGAGGAACACCAGUGGCGAAGGCGGCUCUCUGGACCAAUACUGACGCUGAGAAGCGAAAGCGUGGGGAGCAAACAGG
rnacentral:rRNA from 1 species